rnacentral:tRNA from 1 species
CGGGGCGUAGCGUAGCCUGGCUAGCGCGCUUGGUUCGGGACCAAGAGGUCGGGAGUUCAAAUCUCCCCGCCCCGACCA